AUUGAACGCUGGCGGCAGGCCUAACACAUGCAAGUCGAACGAGUGGCGGACGGGUGAGUAAUGUCUGGGAAACUGCCUGAGGGCGGGGGAUAACUACUGGAAACGGUAGCUAAUAACGCAUACCAUCGGAUGUGCCCAGAUGGGAUUCGCUAGUAGGUGGGGUAAAGGCUCACCUAGGCGACGAUCCCUAGCUGUUCGGAGAGGAUGACCAGCCACACUGGAACUGAGACAAGGUCCAGACUCCUACGGGAGGCAGCAGUGGGGAAUAUUGCACAAUGGGCGCAGGCCUGUUGCAGCCAUGCCGCGUGUAUGAAGAAGGCCUUCGGGUUGUAAAGUACUUUCAGCGGGGAGGCGUUACCCGCAGAAGAAGCACCGGCUAACUCCGUGCCAGCAGCCGCGGUAAUAC
rnacentral:rRNA from 1 species